rnacentral:sRNA from 1 species
CUGAUUGGGAUACUCUUCAGUUUUUAAUGAAAUGCCGAGUAAGGCGAGCACAGCAAUGGCGGGCCCCAACCUGAAAAGGUGUCUACGCGACCAGGCGGAUUACAAAGCCGUGUAAGCCCUCAAAUCCUGUAUUUGUCGGAGUUCCAUCAUAUCCCUUUGGUGUGGUUCCU